AGCAUUGUUAAGGAACUCGGCAAAAUGACCCCGUAACUUCGGGAGAAGGGGUGCCACAGGAAUGUGGCCGCAGAGAAUAGGCUCAAGCAACUGUUUAGCAAAAACACAGGUCUAUGCGAAACCGAAAGGUGAGGUAUAUGGGCUGACGCCUGCCCGGUGCUGGAAGGUUAAGAGGAGAUGUCAGGAAACGAAGCAUUGAAUUUAAGCCCCAGUAAACGGCGGCCGUAACUAUAACGGUCCUAAGGUAGCGAAAUUCCUUGUCGGGUAAGUUCCGACCCGCACGAAAGGCGUAAUGAUUUGAGCGCUGUCUCGACAAUGCAUCCGGUGAAAUUGAAGUACCAGUGAAGAUGCUGGUUACCUGCGCCAGGACGGAAAGACCCCAUGGAGCUUUACUCCAGUUUGGUACUGGGAUUCGGUAUUGCAUGUACAGGAUAGGUGGGAGGCGAAGAGGAAGAGACGCCAGUCUCUUCGGAGCCGCUGUUGGGAUACCACCCUUGCAGUAUUGGGUUUCUAACCAGCCGCCGUGACCCGGCGGUGGGACAAUGCCAGGCGGGGAGUUUGACUGGGGCGGUCGCCUCCGAAAGGGUAUCGGAGGCGCCCAAAGGUUCCCUCAGAAUGGACGGAAACCAUUCGAAGAGUGCAAAGGCAGAAGGGAGCUUGACUGCGACACCGACGGGUGGAGCAGGUACGAAAGUAGGACUUAGUGAUCCGGUGGUAUGAAAGUGGGAUUGCCAUCGCUCAACGGAUAAAAGCUACCCUGGGGAUAACAGGCUUAUCACUCCCAAGAGUUCACAUCGACGGAGUGGUUUGGCACCUCGAUGUCGGCUCAUCGCAUCCUGGGGCUGUAGUAGGUCCCAAGGGUUGGGCUGUUCGCCCAUUAAAGCGGUACGCGAGCUGGGUUCAGAACGUCGUGAGACAGUUCGGUCCCUAUCCGGCGUGGGCGUAGGAUAUCUGAGAGGAGCUGUCCUUAGUACGAGAGGACCGGGAUGGACGGGCCGCUGGUGUACCUGUUGCAGUGCCAACUGCAUGGCAGGGUAGCCAAGCCCGGAAGGGAUAAACGCUGAAGGCAUCUAAGCGUGAAGCCCCCCUCAAGAUGAGAUAUCCCAUUCUAAAAAGAAGUAAGACCCCUUGAAGACGACGAGGUAGAUAGGACAGAGGUGGAAGUACAGCAAUGUAUGGAGCUGACUGUUACUAAUCGGUCGAGGGCUUGACCUG
rnacentral:rRNA from 1 species